rnacentral:misc_RNA from 1 species
GAUGAAGAACGUAGCGAAAUGCGAUAAGUAAUGUGAAUUGCAGAAUUCCGUGAGUCAUCGAAUCUUUGAACGCACAUUGCGCCCACUGGUAUUCCGGUGGGCAUGCCUGUUCGAGCGUCAUUAUCCUCCCUCAAACCUCGGGUUUGGUGUUGGACCCAAGUUGUGUGAACAACUGGUCUCAAAGACAAUGACGGCGUCCGUGGGACCCUCGGUGCAACGAGCUUUUAGGAGCACGCGUCGAGUUUCAAGGACCUUCCGGGCCGGUCUCCUUUACUAUUUUUACAAGGUUGACCUCGGAUCAGGUAGGAAUACCCGCUGAACUUAAGCAUAUCAAUAAGCGGAGGA